CGUCUAUAUACGUAUAGCAUAUCAAUAAGCGGAGGAAAAGAAACUAACUAGGAUUCCCUCAGUAACGGCGAGUGAAGCGGGAAGAGCUCAAAUUUGAAAUCUUCAAGGUUCUACCUUGACGAAUUGUAGUUUAAAGAAGUGUUUUCUGUUGGAGUUUUGGUAAAAGUUCUUUGGAAUAGGACAUCAUAGAGGGUGAGAAUCCCGUAUUUGACCAUUAUUUCCAACUUUGUGAUACACUUUCAAAGAGUCGGAUUGUUUGGGAAUGCAGUCCAAAAUGGGUGGUAAAUUUCAUCUAAAGCUAAAUACUGGCGAGAGACCGAUAGCGAACAAGUACCGUGAGGGAAAGAUGAAAAGAACUUUGAAAAGAGAGUUAAACAGUACGUGAAAUUGUCAAAAGGGAAGCGUUUGACACCAGUGUUGUUUUCUCGAAAAUCAAUUAAAAAUGGCAGGAUUUUGUGUUGUAUUGACUUUAUCAGCUUUCUGCACUUUUUUCUUGUCUUUUUUAAUGCACUUUUCGUUUAACAAGUCAACAUCAAUUUCUUUUGUUGUAAAAGGGUCAUUGGAAGGUGGCUUUCUUUUCGGAGAAAGUGUUUAUAGCCUUUGACUUCUGCAAUCGGAGAGAUUGAGGUCUGCAGCGUAGAUCCUUCGGGGUUAGAUGCAUUUGUGCUAAGCUAUAGCCUUUCAUAGACAACUUGUUGACUAUGAUCAGUCAUGUAGCUUACUCGCUUAUGUCAUUUUACCUACGCUUAGGAUGUUGACGAUCAGCUGAGCGCG
rnacentral:rRNA from 1 species